rnacentral:tRNA from 2 species
CAGAAAAUAGUUUAUUUAAAAUAUUAAUUUUGGGGAUUAAUGAUGAGUUUUUAUUCUUUUCUGA